rnacentral:rRNA from 1 species
AAAAAGCUCGUAGUUGGAUUUCUGCGGGGGCGGGGCGCCGAUGCUUAUAGCUCUCAGCUGGUACUUCCCCCGCAUCCUGCCGCGAACCGUGCUACCAUUAGUUUGGUGGCGCUGGGGAUCGGCUCGUUUACUUUGAGAAAAAUAGAGUGUUCAAAGCAGGCCACACGCCUUGAAUAAGUUAGCAUGGAAUAAUGAUAAAGGACUUCGGUUCUAUUUUGUUGGUGUUCGGGACUGAAGUAAUGAUUGAUAGGGACAGUUGGGGCGGUCAGUAUUCCAAAGCGAGAGGUGAAAUUCUUAGACCUUCGGAAGACUAACAGCUGCGAAAGCGUUCCGCAAGGAUGUUCCCUUAGAUCAAGAACGAAAGUUGGGGGAUCGAAGACGAUCAGAUACCGUCGUAGUCUCAACUAUAAACUAUACCAGCUAGGGAUCGGCCGACGUUUACUUAUAUC